UACGGGAGUGGCAAGCGUUAUCCGGAAUUAUUGGGCGUAAAGCGUCCGCAGGCGGUCUUUUAAGUCUGCUGUUAAAGCGUGGAGCUUAACUCCAUUUGGGCAGUGGAAACUGGAAGACUAGAGUGUGGUAGGGGCAGAGGGAAUUCCCGGUGUAGCGGCGAAAUGCGUAGAUAUCGGGAAGAACACCAGUGGCGAAGGCGCUCUGCUGGGCCAUAACUGACGCUCAUGGACGAAAGCCAGGGGAGCGAAAGGGAUUAGAUACCCCUGUAGUCCUGGCCGUAAACGAUGAACACUAGGUGUCGGGGGAAUCGACCCCCUCGGUGUCGUAGCCAACGCGUUAAGUGUUCCGCCUGGGGAGUACGCACGCAAGUGUGAAACUCAAAGGAAUUGACGGGGGCCCGCACAAGCGGUGGAGUAUGUGGUUUAAUUCGAUGCAACGCGAAGAACCUUACCAGGGUUUGACAUCCUGCGAAUCCCUUGGAAACGAGGGAGUGCCUUCGGGAACGCAGUGACAGGUGGUGCAUGGCUGUCGUCAGCUCGUGUCGUGAGAUGUUGGGUUAAGUCCCGCAACGAGCGCAACCCACGUCGUUAGUUGCCAGCAUUCAGUUGGGCACUCUAGCGAGACCGCCGGUGAUAAACCGGAGGAAGGUGUGGAUGACGUCAAGUCAUCAUGCCCCUUACAUCCUGGGCUACACACGUACUACAAUGCUACGGACAAAGGGCAGCAAACUCGCGAGAGCUAGCAAAUCCCAUAAACCGUGGCUCAGUUCAGAUCGUAGGCUGCAACUCGCCUACGUGAAGGAGGAAUCGCUAGUAAUCGCAGGUCAGCAUACUGCGGUGAAUACGUUCCCGGGCCU
rnacentral:rRNA from 1 species